GUUGAGGUUAUCUAGCCCAACACCACUGAUUUCAUUGCUACUGGUUAUAUGCAAAUUAAGAUCAACUGAAUGAAACCACUCCGGAUGUGCACUAAAUAAAGCACAAUUUGAUUCCAUCCUUUGAAUUUUCUCCAUGAUCAUCUUAAUUUGCUCUAAGAUCUCCUCAUUGUUUUGCUCUAAUUGCUUAAUUCUUUCCUCACAAGCUGCAUGUGAGGAUGAUUCUCCAAAUUUUGACUUCCUCUGCCUCGCAACGUGGGAGAAGUAGUGUUGGGUAUCUUAUCCAAAUUCAAACACACACUCUCCUUUCUUGAGACCACUAGUUGCCUCAUACCAUGCAAUUGCAU